UAGGGAAUCUUCCACAAUGGCGAGAGCCUGAUGGAGCAACGCCGCGUGUGUGAUGAAGGGUUUCGGCUCGUAAAACACUGUUGUAAGAGAAGAAUGACAUUGAGAGUAACUGUUCAAUGUGUGACGGUAUCUUACCAGAAAGGAACGGCUAAAUACGUGCCAC
rnacentral:rRNA from 1 species